rnacentral:piRNA from 1 species
UAGUGUCUGACUUUAACUUUU